ACGAACGCUGGCGGCGUGCCUAAUACAUGCAAGUUGAGCGAUGAAGAUUGGUGCUUGCACCAAUUUGAAGAGCAGCGAACGGGUGAGUAACGCGUGGGGAAUCUGCCUUUGAGCGGGGGACAACAUUUGGAAACGAAUGCUAAUACCGCAUAAUAACUUUAAACAUAAGUUUUAAGUUUGAAAGAUGCAAUUGCAUCACUCAAAGAUGAUCCCGCGUUGUAUUAGCUAGUUGGUGAGGUAAAGGCUCACCAAGGCGAUGAUACAUAGCCGACCUGAGAGGGUGAUCGGCCACAUUGGGACUGAGACACGGCCCAAACUCCUACGGGAGGCAGCAGUAGGGAAUCUUCGGCAAUGGACGAAAGUCUGACCGAGCAACGCCGCGUGAGUGAAGAAGGUUGUCGGAUCGUAAAACUCUGUUGGUAGAGAAGAACGUUGGUGAGAGUGGAAAGCUCAUCAAGUGACGGUAACUACCCAGAAAGGGACGGCUAACUACGUG
rnacentral:rRNA from 1 species